GUAGGCUACUUCAGACUUGGUUUUUCUCAAAUCCAUGGCUAGUUUUCAACGGUCGUCUUAGUGGGAUCCUUCGUUUUAGAUGAUUUGCUGAGUGGGGUGGGCCUUAUUGCGUUGAGUGGGGGGAGUCAUCUGUAGAAUUGAGAGUUUUUUUCACCAGUAUAAUGUCCCUCUCUGUUUGACUCUUUUUAAAAAGUUCUUUUUCAUCUAUCAUUUUCAACCAAGCAGCAAGAGGUCAAAUUUAAGAAUAAGUAAUAGUUUGUCAUGAUUUUACAGGGAAAAGUCAGAGCGCGAUGUCACAUCUUAAAGACAGCUUGAAC